rnacentral:rRNA from 1 species
UACAGAGGUCUCAAGCGUUGUUCGGAUUCAUUGGGCGUAAAGGGCGCGUAGGCGGCGGGGUAAGUCGGGUGUGAAAUCUCAGAGCUCAACUCUGAAACUGCACUCGAUACUGCUCUGCUUGAGGACUGGAGAGGAGACUGGAAUUCCCGGUGUAGCGGUGGAAUGCGUAGAGAUCGGGAAGAACAUCAGUGGCGAAGGCGGUCUGCUGGGCCGUUGCUGACGCUGAGGCGCGACAGCGUGGGGAGCAAACAGG